UACGUAGGGGGCAAGCGUUGUCCGGAUUUAUUGGGCGUAAAGCGCGUGUAGGCGGCCAUACAGGUCCGUUGUGAAAACUCGAGGCUUAACCUCGAGACGUCGAUGGAAACCGUAUGGCUAGAGUCCGGAAGAGGAGAGUGGAAUUCCUGGUGUAGCGGUGAAAUGCGCAGAUAUCAGGAGGAACACCGGUGGCGAAGGCGGAUCUCUGGGCCUUACCUGACGCUGAGGCGCGAAAGCUAGGGGAGCGAACAGG
rnacentral:rRNA from 1 species